rnacentral:tRNA from 1 species
GAGAUACAACUGGUGUUGGUAAAGCCUUCUAAGCUUCUUUCCAAGGGGGUUCAAUUCCCUCCUUAUCUCU